rnacentral:lncRNA from 1 species
UAAACUUGUAGAAAUGCUUCUCCAUAGAAUUUUGGAGAUCCCCUAAAAAAUUCUGCCCCAAUUAUUUGGUCCAAGAAAAAUAUUAAAAUUUCAUUAUGAUAAGACCGAACUCCAUAGGAGCGCCUAUGUAACCCUCUUAAACGGGAAUCAAGUCAAACAUAAUUCAAAUUACAUAGGAGAAAUUCAUAUUGUUCCAAACAUAUGUAACGAUUAUAGUAACUCAAAUGCUUGAGAGCCCAAAAUGAGGACACGAUGUGAUAUCCCUUCAUUAAUGUCAGAUAGAUUCCCAUGCUUAAUCAACAUUAAGAUAUGGCCCCGUCAUAUUUAUCACCUUGGUAUCAAUCAGUGCUUGAAUUUUAUCCCUUAAAGAAUGACAUUCUUCUGUGGUGUGGCCUGUUAUCCCUGAAUGAUAAGCACAAACUUUAAAAUGAUCAAUCCAUUUUGCACAUGCAUUCAUCAUAAUUGUAGGAAUUGGAGUAAUGUAGCCAUCAACCCUUAAUCUCUCAUAAAGUUGGUCUAUAGGCUCAGCCAAAGGAGUGUACUCUCUUGAAAACUUUUUCUAAAACUUAACUUGAGGUCUAACAAAUUGAUUGGAUCGUUUAUGUGUUGGUGGAUUUUGAUAAGCUAAUGGAAUAUAUUUGGAGGAACUUGAAAGUGCGCAGGUUGUGCAAGAGAGUUGGUAGGAUUAUAAGAUAGCAUGGGGUAAUUGUAUGUCAUCGUAGGAGGUGAAUAUGAAGGUGCUCGAUAUAUGGGUGUUUGGUGUUAAAGUGGAGGAAGUGGUAAUUGAUAAAUCGGAGGGCUUUUAGGAUCUUAUGUAGUCAAGACAACAUUACUUCCUUCAUGUCAUUAUUUUCGUCAGCCUGUGAAGUCUUAAUCACUUACAGCGCCUCCAAAUUUAUUAUCAUGCCAUUUUUAACGCCUUCUUCAACUCUCUCACCCAAUUUAAUGAUGUCAAUAAUCUUUCUAUCAUCUAUAAGCAUAUUUUUUUAUAAUACUGUGGCUCUUAGGCACGAAUGAAAAAUUCCUUCAUUUGAUUUUCAUCCAAAGGAGGGCACACUUUAAAAGCUUCACGUAUCCAUCUCAUCUAUAUUCUUGAAAUGAUUCUAUAGGUUUCUUUUUUAACUUUUGAAUGUAGAACCAAUCAGGCGCAUUCUCGACAUUAAACCCAAAUCUUUCUAUAAAAGCAGAGGCUAUGUCGGUCUAUUUUGACCAUUUUGUUGCAUCUUGUAUGACAUACCAUGAUAAAGCAUCUCCAGUGAGACUCCUCAUGAAUAUCUUCAUAAGAAUUUGCUCGUUUUUACCAACUCCUACCAACUUGUCACAAUAUAAUUUUAAAUAGACUUUCAGAUCUCCAGUCUUAUUAUACAAUUCAAAUUUAGGAGUUUUGUACCCCUCCGGCUGUUCAACAUCAGGGUAUAUGCACAAGUCCUCGUAACUUUGUUCAUUCAACCCCUUACUACAUUCAAGUUGUUCCAACCUAUCAACCACAAAUUGCAUAAGGGCAUCUUUUUCUGAAGGUUUGGAUUUAUA